rnacentral:ncRNA from 1 species
AUGAAACCGAUGAUGUGGAGAUCAAGAUCAUUGUGCGCGCAAAGAGAGUUGCCGGUGCUGAGAGUGCAAUCGAACGCAGAUGAUUAAAUGGACCACGGAGGGUUCUCCCGAAAGACUUCAAGUACGGAGAAACGUAAAGGCAUACGUCAGUUGUCGGAGAGAUGUUGGUCUCUCGCUAAGCGUGAUUAAAUGGGGAUUUUUAGACAAAUCAGAUGCUAUUAUUUGUUGAAGUCUCGAAUUAAUCGAACUAAGGUGGCACCGCGGAAAAUCCGUCCUUAAC